rnacentral:rRNA from 1 species
UACGUAGGUGACAAGCGUUGUCCGGAUUUACUGGGCGUAAAGAGCGCGCAGGCGGUCGAUCAAGUCGAGUGUGAAAGCCCCCGGCUCAACUGGGGAGGGUCACUCGAUACUGAUCGACUUGAAGGCAGGAGAGGGUAGUGGAAUUCCCGGUGUAGUGGUGAAAUGCGUAGAUAUCGGGAGGAACACCAGUGGCGAAGGCGACUACCUGGCCUGUUCUUGACGCUGAGGCGCGAAAGCUAGGGGAGCAAACGGGG